rnacentral:lncRNA from 1 species
AAAAAACCCAGUUUGAAGCACAAUUUUGCAACAAGCUAGGAAAAAAAAUUCAUUCUUGACCCCAGAAUGGCAGUCAGAUUUAUCCUUGGAUCAAGCAGUUAUUACCCUACAUUGAAAGAUUAUAUCCUUGAAUAUUCUGUUCUUGCAAGUAUGCAUCUAGUAGCCGUUUGAAAAUCUGUAUGGACUCUGAUAAAACCACUUCUUCAGGCAGAGAAUUCCACAUCCUGAUUGUUCUUACAGUAAAAAAAACUUUCCUUUGCCUUAGACGAAAUCUUCUUUCUUCCAGUCUAAACGCAUGACCUUGUGUCCUAUGUAAAGUCCAG